CACCAAACAAAUUCAACACCUUACAAGUUCAACACCAAACAAAUUCAACACCUUACAAGUUCAAAAUCAAACAAGUUCAACACUAAAAUAGUUCAACACCUUACAAAACCUUACAAGUUUAACACCUUACAAAUUCAAAACAUCAAUAAAAGUUCAAAACCUUACAACUUAAACCACCAUAAAAUUCAACAUAAAUUACAAAACAAGUUCAACACUAAACUCACAAAUUCAAAACAUCAAGAAAUGUCCAAACCUUA